AUAUAUAUAUAUAUAUAUAUUCGUGAAAGGCUUCAAAAAGUUCAACGUACAGCAUCAUCAAUCGAAGUUGUGUUGAAAUAUGUUUGAAUUUACUUCAGAUGUUUUAGGCUGAUACUAAGCCAUAUCUGUGAUGUACUCUCUGGUGUUCCAUGUUGUGUAUGCUAUGUUACUUUAUAGUCUGCUCGAGUUUGUUUAAAUUGUUACCUAUUUAUACUCUA
rnacentral:misc_RNA from 1 species